CUGUAAGCCGUUGAAGGUGUGCUGUGAGGCAUGCUGGAGGUAUCAGAAGUGCGAAUGCUGACAUAAGUAACGAUAAAGCGGGUGAAAAGCCCGCUCGCCGGAAGACCAAGGGUUCCUGUCCAACGUUAAUCGGGGCAGGGUGAGUCGACCCCUAAGGCGAGGCCGAAAGGCGUAGUCGAUGGGAAACAGGUUAAUAUUCCUGUACUUGGUGUUACUGCGAAGGGGGGACGGAGAAGGCUAUGUUAGCCGGGCGACGGUUGUC
rnacentral:rRNA from 1 species